rnacentral:rRNA from 1 species
GACGAACGCUGGCGGCGUGCUUAACACAUGCAAGUCGAACGGAAAGGCCGUGCUUUUGUGGGGUGAUCGAGUGGCGAACGGGUGAGUAACACGUGAGUAACCUGCCCUUGACUUUGGGAUAACUUCAGGUAACUGGGGUUAAUACCGGACAGGAGAUCCUGUUGCAUGGUGGGGGUUGGAAAGUUUCGGCGGUUGGGGAUGGACUCGCGGCUUAUCAGCUUGUUGGUGGGGUAGUGGCUUACCAAGGCUUUGACGGGUAGCCGGCCUGGGAGGGUGAACGGCCACAUUGGGACUGCGGGACGGCCCAGACUCCUACGUGGGGCAGCAGUGGGGAGUAUUACACAAUGGUCGGAAGCCUGAUACAGCAGCGCCGCGUUCGGAAUGACGUCUUUCUGGUAGUGAACCGCUUUCGCCUGUGACGAAGCGUGAGUGACGGUAAUGAAUGAAUAAGCACCGGCUAACUACGUG